rnacentral:tRNA from 1 species
UGGGAUGUGGCUCAGUGGUAGAGUGCUUGCCUCACAUGUAUGAGGCACUGGGUUCGAUUCUCAGCACCACAU